UACGUAGGGUGCGAGCGUUAAUCGGAAUUACUGGGCGUAAAGCGUGCGCAGGCGGUGAUGUAAGACCGAUGUGAAAUCCCCGAGCUUAACCUGGGAACUGCAUUGGUGACUGCAUUGCUGGAGUAUGGCAGAGGGGGGUGGAAUUCCACGUGUAGCAGUGAAAUGCGUAGAGAUGUGGAGGAACACCGAUGGCGAAGGCAGCCCCCUGGGCCAAUACUAACGCUCAUGCACGAAAGCGUGGGGAGCAAACAGG
rnacentral:rRNA from 1 species